rnacentral:tRNA from 2 species
GCCGUUAUGGUGAAAUUGGUAGAC